UAGUCAUAUGCUUGUCUCAAAGAUUAAGCCAUGCAUGUCUAAGUACAUACUGUUUAUAAAGUGAAACCGCGAAUGGCUCAUUAAAUCAGUUACGGUUCCUCGGAUAUUCUUUUUUACAUGGAUAACUGUGGUAAUUCUAGAGCUAAUACAUGAACAAGUGUUCCAACCUCAGCUUGCUGACGGAAGGAUCGCAUUUAUUAGUACAAGACCAAUGAUUCUUAUUCACCUAGAACCCUGUUCAGUGAUUUCGGUCGCUGUCUAAGGACUAGCAGUGGGGAUCUUAGCAACUUCGGUUGCAUUUCUUGUGAUGACUCUGAAUAACUGAGCAAAUCGUAUGGCCUCUGAGCCGACGAUGUAUCCCUCAAGCAACUGCCUUAUCAACUGUCGAUGGUAGGUUAUGCGCCUACCAUGGUUGUAACGGGUAACGGGGAAUUAGGGUUCGAUUCCGGAGAGGGAGCCUGAGAAACGGCUACCACAUCUAAGGAAGGCAGCAGGCGCGCAAAUUACACAAUCCCAGUACGGGGAUGUAGUGACGAAAAAUAACAAUACGGGACUCUAUUGAGGCCCCGUAAUUGGAAUGAGUACAAUUUAAAUCCUUUAACGAGGAUCUAUUGGAGGGCAAGUCUGGUGCCAGCAGCCGCGGUAAUUCCAGCUCCAAUAGCGUAUAUAA
rnacentral:rRNA from 1 species